UCGCCCGCGACGCGCGUCUCGCCGCUGCAUCACGCGUUGUCGUCGUCGCCUUCGGGCGACGGCGCCGCGUUAAAUACGCAGCUGAACGGGUCGCUCUCCGGCAGCGGGCCGCGGAAGUCGUUCUCGUCGCUCUCGAACUCGGGCGGGUCGUCGCUGCGGCGGUCGUCCGUGGAGCGCGGGCGCGCGGUGUUCGUGAAGCCGGUGGCGCCAGCCGCGGGGGGAACCGUGACGGGGUUUCAUCUGGAGCCGAGUUCGCGAACUGGGACGAACAACGCGGGGUUCCGAGACCGGGGUUCCGAUGCUACUACCCCGGGUGCGAGCGUCGUCGACGCGGGAGGUCUCUCCGCGGGGCUGAGCGCGCUGCAGAUCGAGCUUGAGGACGCGCGGUCGUCGAUCGUGUCGCCGACGAAGACGAAGCCGCCGCUGCCCACGUCCGCGCGGCGGUCGCUGGACGCGUCCGGCUCCCCGACCAAGUCGUCGCGCGUCGGGAGCGGGCUCCUGACCGGGACGCCGCCGCUCGAGGCGCUAAACGACGUCGAAGCGGCCAUACUCCGCGACGCGCAGGCGAGACACGCCGCGUUCGGUCUCCCCGGCGUCGUGAGCGCGUUUCGAGUCGCCGCGAGGGCGCACCGCGGCGACGUCGACGACGUCGACGGUUCUGAAGCGCCGUUUCUGAAGCGCUGCGUCGAGUGCGCGUCCAUCAUCGCCCACCUCGGGAUGGACUCCAGCGCGGUCGCGGCCGCGCUGCUCUGCAACGUCCUCGACCGCACGCCGGUCAUCGCGGAAGAGCUCGCGGUAGCGCUCACGGGCCGCCCCGCGGUUAUCGACAUGGUGAAGGGCGCUUCGAGGCUCGCGCUCGUGUCGCGGAUGCGUCGCGCGUCGGCGCGCGAGCUCGACGCGGAGGAGCGCAUGCAGCUCCGCGCGAUGCUCAUCGCGGCCACGGACGCGAGGGUCGUCAUCGUGAAACUCGCGGACAGGCUCGCGACGCUGACGUCGUUGACCGCCGCGGCCGACGGCGGCGGCGUCGACGCGCUCGGCGGCGAACGCGACCGCGCGACGCGGCUGGCGGACGAGACGCUCGACGUCUUCGUCCCGCUCGCGUCUCGG
rnacentral:lncRNA from 1 species